GUGGUCUAAGGGAGUGUGCAGCAGUGUGUCAGUCGACCGUACGCUGCAGCCGCCCCCACAUGGACCUAUACUAUAACAGGAGUUGAUCCUGGCAGUUGCAGGUGUGAGCAUUCAUCCAGUUGACUGAUGUUCAUGUAUGAUACUGCACACAGAA
ensembl:scaRNA